UCGAGGAUGUCAUGCAGGUCCCUCGCCCUUGGCAAACUGGACCUUCUUACAGCGCGGGGCGUGGCCAGCAGCCAUGUACACCUCCUCACGGUGGUGCUUCUUGUAGGGUCGGAAGCGCUCCCAGAUCCUGUGUGCUCUCAGAGGAGUACUCAGGGCUGGAGGAGUACCCUGAGUAGUAGUGUCUGGGGGAGAGCUGCUGAGUAGGUGGAGUCUCGCUUGGAGCGGGUCAGCGGCUUGAGGAAGGACACGCGCUGGCUGAGACUGUCAGGGCCCUCCCCUCGUAGUAGAGCGCCAGGGAAGCUGUGGCGGUGCUCGCUGCAGUGAUAGGCAGGCUUCACCUCCAGGUGGUGGAUGCCCCCACCCCCGCUGCUGCCCGCUGCUGCCCGGUGGGCACCAGUGGAGCCAGGUCCAGCGGGCUGUUGAGUGGGCUGCCCUUCUCGAUAUACUUGGAGUCACCCUUGGCCAGCCCCGAGGCGGCCGGGUGAUCAGGCACGUCCAGGCUGAAGACCUUAAGCGCUCUUGAUGGAGCCACUGGACGACACGCUGCAGGUCUUGCGGGUGACGGCGGCAUCAGCGCUGAGCUGGCGCUGCAGUGGGUGGUGGGAGCUUUCUUUAUAGGGGCGGGGAGAGGAAGCUGGGCCGCUCCAACGCCCCCAGGUGCGGCAGCUGUGGAGGUGGCAGUGGCGCAGGGAGAGACUGGCACUCAAAGGCCAGCUCAGGGUCCCCACCACCACUACUGCCCCCAGGAAAGAGGCCGAGUCCAGUUUGAGGGCAUCGAUGCAGAUGGUCAUGAUGUAGUGCGUGGUGGUGGAGGUGCUGGGCGCCAGGUCGCCGGGCACAGGGUCCCGGGUGGUGAAGGUCCAGGCAGGUGUGGUUGAAGCGACGGCUGUUGCGCAGUGAGGUCACACAGAAGGUGUAUUCGGUGUGCGCCGAAGCUUGUCCAGCGUCACGAUCUCCUUCUUGUUCUUGAGGGUCAUGACGUCAGAGAAGUAGCUGUUGUUGUACUGGACCAGGACAUACAUCUUGCUGUAGGGGUGUGGGAUAAUGACCACCAGGGUGGCCGAGGUGAAAGUCACAUGAUGCAGCUUAAUGGCAGGCCCUGUGGUCGCAUCUGUGGUGGACGAGGCCGGGCGGCUCCACCGAAAGGAUCUCGCCAGGGUUGAAGCCCGAGUUCUCAUCUGGUUCC
rnacentral:lncRNA from 1 species